UACGUAGGGUCCAAGCGUUAAUCGGAAUUACUGGGCGUAAAGAGUGCGCAGGCGGCAUUAUAAGCUUGAUGUGAAAUCCCCGGGCUCAACCUGGGAACUGCAUUGAUGACUGUAAUGCUAGAGUGUAGCAGAGGGGGGUAGAAUUCCACGUGUAGCAGUGAAAUGCGUAGAGAUGUGGAGGAAUACCGAUGGCGAAGGCAGCCCCCUGGGUUAACACUGACGCUCAUGCACGAAAGCGUGGGGAGCAAACAGG
rnacentral:rRNA from 1 species